AUUGAACGCUGGCGGCAGGCCUAACACAUGCAAGUCGAGCGGCAGCGACUUAACUGAACCUUCGGGGAACGUUAAGGGCGGCGAGCGGCGGACGGGUGAGUAAUGCCCGGGAAUAUGCCCUGAUGUGGGGGAUAACUAUUGGAAACGAUAGCUAAUACCGCAUAAUCUCUUCGGAGCAAAGAGGGGGACCUUCGGGCCUCUCGCGUCAGGAUUAGCCCAGGUGGGAUUAGCUUGUUGGUGAGGUAAUGGCUCACCAAGGCAACGAUCCCUAGCUGGUCUGAGAGGAUGAUCAGCCACACUGGAACUGAGACACGGUCCAGACUCCUACGGGAGGCAGCAGUGGGGAAUAUUGCACAAUGGGGGAAACCCUGAUGCAGCCAUGCCGCGUGUGUGAAGAAGGCCUUCGGGUUGUAAAGCACUUUCAGUAGGGAGGAAGGUAGUGUAGUUAACACCUGCAUUAUUUGACGUUACCUACAGAAGAAGCACCGGCUAACUCCGUGCCAGCAGCCGCGGUAAUACGGAGGGUGCGAGCGUUAAUCGGAAUUACUGGGCGUAAAGCGCAUGCAGGCGGCCUGUUAAGUCAGAUGUGAAAGCCCGGGGCUUAACCUCGGAAUUGCAUUUGAAACUGGCAGGCUAGAGUCUUGUAGAGGGGGGUAGAAUUUCAGGUGUAGCGGUGAAAUGCGUAGAGAUCUGAAGGAAUACCAGUGGCGAAAGCGGCCCCCUGGACAAAGACUGACGCUCAGAUGCGAAAGCGUGGGGAGCAAACAGG
rnacentral:rRNA from 1 species